rnacentral:rRNA from 1 species
CCCUUAGAUGUUCGGGGCCGCACGCGCGCUACACUGAAGGAAUCAGCACGUCGUUCUCCUUGUCCGAAAGGACUGGGUAACCCGCUGAACCUCCUUCGUGCUAGGGAUUGGGGCUUGUAAUUCUUCCCCAUGAACGAGGAAUUCCCAGUAAGCGCGAGUCAUAAGCUCGCGUUGAUUACGUCCCUGCCCUUUGUACACACCGCCCGUCGCUACUACCGAUUGGAUGGUUUAGUGAGAUCCUCGGAUUGGUCCCGGCGCGGCCUCUGGUCGUGCCGGAGUGCCGAAAAGAAUGUCGAACUUGAUCAUCUAGAGGAAGUAAAAGUCGUAACA